rnacentral:rRNA from 1 species
GUGUAGCGGUGAAAUGCAUAGAUAUUACUUAGAACACCAAUUGCGAAGGCAGGUUACUAAGCAACAACUGACGCUGAUGGACGAAAGCGUGGGGAGCGAACAGGAUUAGAUACCCUGGUAGUCCACGCCGUAAACGAUGCUAACUCGUUUUUGGGCUUUCGGGUUCAGAGACUAAGCGAAAGUGAUAAGUUAGCCACCUGGGGAGUACGAACGCAAGUUUGAAACUCAAAGGAAUUGACGGGGGCCCGCACAAGCGGUGGAUUAUGUGGUUUAAUUCGAUGAUACGCGAGGAACCUUACCAAGGCUUAAAUGGAAAUGACAGGUUUAGAAAUAGACUUUUCUUCGGACAUUUUUCAAGGUGCUGCAUGGUUGUCGUCAGCUCGUGCCGUGAGGUGUUAGGUUAAGUCCUGCAACGAGCGCAACCCCUGUCACUAGUUGCCAUCAUUAAGUUGGGGACUCUAGUGAGACUGCCUACGCAAGUAGGAGGAAGGUGGGGAUGACGUCAAAUCAUCACGGCCCUUACGCCUUGGGCCACACACGUAGUACAAUGGCCGGUACAGAGGGCAGCUACACAGCGAUGUGAUGCAAAUCUCGAAAGCCGGUCUCAGUUCGGAUUGGAGUCUGCAACUCGACUCUAUGAAGCUGGAAUCGCUAGUAAUCGCGCAUCAGCAUGGCGCGGUGAAUACGUUCCCGGGCCUUGUACACACCGCCCGUCAAGCCAUGGAAGUCUGGGGUACCUGAAGUCGGUGACCGUAAGGAGCUGCCUAGGGUAAAACAGGUAACUAGGGCUAAGUCGUAACAAGGUAACCAAGGGCGAAUCG